CCCCACUAGAAUCGAGAACGCAAAGCACACCAUGAAUACCCGCUGCGUUUCUCCGCAGCCCAUCUCCUUGGCACCUCUCCUUGUACCCAGGCUUGCUGGGUGGUACUGAUGCAUUCAUUCACAUGGGAAAGGAGAGGCAAUCGGCAAAAGUAAAAAGAAUAAUCAUUAUUUGCUUCAAGUGAUCCCUACCACACCUUUAAACAUGUUAUUCUUCUAGCAGUACCUGGUUGCCCUCCCUGUGUAAUCCUGCAGUUACUUCUGCAACAGAUGGAGUGUAUUCCCCACCCCUAACUGAGGGCUGGACUGUGAGACUUGCUUUGAUUUAUGCCACUGGAGGAGAAGUGAUUCUAUGCCUGCCUGAUCUAAGCCUCAUGAGAUAUUGUGGGUUCCCACUGUGAUCACCAGAUAGCUGCUUUCUCCUUCAACCUGGGCUCCAGAAGAAGUAAAAAGAAAAAACCCCACACAUUUAAAAAAACAAACAAACAAACAACCUACCCACCCCCCCACCAAAUCUUCACUGGAAAAUCUAUACUAAGUUUGAGUUUUUCUGAAUACAUCUUUUAAAGACUUUCUUCUUUUGUUUACCUACAUACACACACAGAGAAGACUUGAACUGCAAGAUUUUGCACAAAACAGAAAACCCAAGUAUUCAUUCUAAUCUCUCACCUUCUGUUGAAAUCCACCUGGAUGGAAUGAUCAAUUACAAGAUCGGCAGGACAGAUGGGGUUUAUUUUCUCUGGAUCUCCUCCUAACUUCUUCACGGCAUCGCGCAUGGCCGCAAAAUCAACCACGGCUGGCACCCCCCUAAGAAAAGAAAGCAUUAAGCAGAAGACAAAAUCGUUGAACAAGCAUCCUUGGAUUUGUCAGCUUUGGCCUCCACUAACAACACUGGCCAUGAGACAGUUUCAUCAGUGGGGCGAACAAUGGAUGACUCAGAAUAGUGGAAGCUUCUAAACACCUUUCCUUGAGCAGACUUUGGUUUUAAAUGCCAAGACUGAGUGGUACCUCUACAUGCAGUUUUGUCAUUGCAUUAAAGUUAACAACAAAGAGGGUCUAAAUAGGGACCAUGGCAAAGCAGGCACUUAAAAACUCGGGACUGUUAUUGCCAUGGCUGAUUCCCGUUCAUGUGGUGGGGUGACAAAGGCCUAGAGAAGAUGCAUGGAUCAGACCUCCACCUUCAGACCAAAUUUAAAGAAAUGGAUGUAAUUCAGAGAAUAUGCUAUGAAUCAAAUUUAGACUAGGUGAAUCUUUCCUUUUUAUUAUUUUCGAGGAUAAAAUUUGCCCUCUAGACUGGUCUUCUAGAAAAAUGAAAUUUGGUCUCUAGAAGGAAUAAAAUAACAUCAUUUAAAAAUGGAAAGGUAUAGUGUCUAAAAAAACCAGACCUUGAUGGGGAUUAAAGACUCCUGGGAAUAGCAGCAUGUGAACUGGGGCUUGUGACCUACAAGUCUCCCCUAAGGGGACAGCACAUCACUGUUCUAAGGGCAGCUGUUUUGAAACUGGCUGUGUGGGUGAUGGGGUGGGAGGGACAGAAGGUUCCAAGAUCGCUCUACUCCAUGCUACUUCUUCCGCCUUCUGCUAGUAUACUCAACACCGGGAUCUCCAAGACCAAACAUGAUGACCUUUGCCAUUGGAAAAGGUGGAGUGACUACACAUCCCAAUGUGUCCAAGACAAUGUCUUGCUGUCCAGGAUAACAGACCCCUUAUGUUUUCAAAAGUGUCUGGAUAUUGGGUGAUAAAUUAUACAGGCACUGUGUGUGUGUGCACGUGUGUGCGCACGUGUGUGUGUGUGCACGUGUGUGUGUGUGUGUGUGUAAAGCUUUCUCUAAAGGCUGACAAAGGAGGCAGUGAAGAGCAGAGUGAAGUGACAUCAGGCUCACGUGAAGUCCUGCAGUAUGACGCGGGCAGGCUUAAAGGGCACUUCUAUGUUCUUAUGCUGCAUGACAUUCCAAUUUAGGAUAUUUUCAAUGUCAUUUUUCUUCACCAAAAAUUGAUCACAGUUCCGAAUGGCUGCCUCCAGGAGAACUCUGAUAGAAAAUGGUAAGCGUUCUAGGGAAAAAAGGAGAAAGCAUAACAAAACCAACAAAAGCCAUGAGACACCUUCUCAUAAGAGCGAUUUAAAGCCAAUCUCUAUAUAAACUUGAUACAAGGCCUCAGACUACUCUUCCAAUAGGGAAAGAGGGGACGUUUAAACUGAUUUCCACAGCUUAAAAUGUAAGCAGAUCGAAUGGGUUUAAGAGACAUUUGGUACUAGAAAAUAUCCACAGACUAGGUAAAAAUAAAUAUUACAGUUAAUUCUUUCAUAAUAAAUUGUUGCCUUACCUUGGAUUCCAAAAACGGUUUCCCUUAAGUUAUCAUCAAAGAAGUCAAUCUAGAUAUUUACUGUAUUAUGUGUUGGCAAGUAACACACACAAAGUAAUAUUUCUUACGAAAACUAGUGUUUAAGAAAUGAGAAAGUAACUCCUUUACAACUAUUGUAAUUAAGACCAAAGACAGCCCCAUGCACCUUUCAAAGGAAACACAAGCCUAAACACCAUGUAGGAUGGCCCCUGGUGAUGGGUCUGAGGAUAAGACAAUGAUAAUUCAUAAGAAAAACUAUUUUGUUUAUUUAUAAAAGAAAUGUUCUACCCUGAUCUACGAAAAUUAUUCACGAAUAUUAUUUGGAAAAGAUCAGAGUGCCAAGGUAGAAAAGCAGAGGGUUUGGAAUAAAAAAGACCUGUUUUCGUCCAAUUCUACUACUCACAUAGUUGUUUUUUGAUCAUGUCACUGACCGUCUGGGCCUUAGCUUCCUCAGGACUUCUUACAUUUUAUAAACAUGGCCUUAUAGGUCAUGUUAUACAGAUUAAAUAAUAUAUAUGUACAAACACUCUAUAUACUAUAAAUGUUACAUAAGUGUCACAUGUAUAUAAUCAUUAUUACUUAAAAAUGGGCAAUGUAAGAAAGAUGUGUGUGUGUGAUUUUGUGUGCUUAACUCAAGACCAUUCGGCCAUUUCUGCUACUCCCUCUCUCAACUCUCCUAAAGGCUAAUUAAUUACAUAGCAAAGAAGAUUCUUAACUGCUGUGAGAACAGUUACAUCAGAGAGCCAUGUACCUACCAUAUCUUGAAUCCUUCAAUUUAUUCAAAUUGAAGAAUUUCUUUCCUGGUUGUGCAGGAUCCAAAGGCUCAACAAGGUGUGCAAAGGGGUUGCUCAUGAUUCUUGAUGGCCACGUGUCCCUGGAAAAAUAAAAAAGAGAGAACAUUUAAUGUCUACUCUCAAAGCUGGAUUUCACUUAUUCUGAGGCGUGUUUGCCUUCUUUAACAAUUAUGGUACAUGUUCACUUUAAGACAUCACUUAUCUUUUCAAAGUAGAAGGGCGUGGCAUACAUGACUACAAGAACGAUAUCUCAGCAAAUAAAAUGGGCUUCUGUGAAGCUAUUGUGAAAGCUAGCAUUUGCCUCUCAAGAGAGUAUAAAAUCCCGAACGUCUUUUGUCUUAUGCCUACAACUGUCCAACUUUCUUCCACUGAUAAGAUAUGCUCUGUCUCACGAUAAAUCCUGAUACAUGAGCAGACUUCUGAGCUGGACUCCUGUCUUUCUUAACAGGAGGUAAAAGGUCCAUAGCAGACGACAUGCAAUUGUCCAAAACUUGAACUUUGGAAGUGGGGGCUCGGAAGCAGCUAUCUUCUGUUAUAACAGUCUCUGCAGCAUUUGGAAAUAAAUGUGUUAAUACAAA